rnacentral:ncRNA from 1 species
UAUCAACUGACCUAGCAGACACUUGCCGAGAUGAUAGAUUAUUUCUUUUAGGAGAAAAUUAUG